rnacentral:rRNA from 1 species
GUUUAUUAAGAAACUGCCUAAGGCAGGACUGGUGACUGGGGUUAAGUCGUAACAAGGUAUCCCUACGAGAACGUGGGGAUGGAUUACCUCCUUU